AUUGAACGCUGGCGGCAGGCCUAACACAUGCAAGUCGAGCGAGCGGGAGACGGGUGAGUAAUGGCUAUGAAACUGCCUGAUGGAGGGGGAUAACUCCUGGAAACGGUAGCUAAUACCGCAUACCAUCAGAUGUGCCCAGAGGGGAUUAGCUAGUAGGUGGGGUAACGGCUCACCUAGGCGACGAUCCCUAGCUGGCUUGAGAGGAUGACCAGCCACACGGGGACUGAGACACGGUCCAGACUCCUACGGGAGGCAGCAGUGGGGAAUAUGGCACAAUGGGCGAAAGCCUGAUGCAGCCAUGCCGCGUGUGUGAAGAAGGCCUUCGGGUUGUAAAGCACUUUCAGCGGGGAGGCGUUACCCGCAGAAGAAGCACCGGCUAACUCCGUGCCAGCAGCCGCGGUAAUUC
rnacentral:rRNA from 1 species